GCAACCCUCGACCUUAGUUGCCAGCAUUCAGUUGGGCACGUCUAAGGUGAACUGCCGGCUAAAAGUCGGAGGAAGGUGGGGAUGACGUCAAAUCAUCAUGCCCUUAUGACCUGGGCUACACACGUGCUACAAUGGGCGGUACAAAGGGUCGCGAACCCGCGAGGGGGAGCCAAUCCCAAAAAGCCGCUCUCAGUUCGGAUUGCAGGCUGCAACUCGCCUGCAUGAAGCCGGAAUCGCUAGUAAUCGCGGAUCAGCAUGCCGCGGUGAAUACGUUCCCGGGCCUU
rnacentral:rRNA from 1 species